rnacentral:rRNA from 1 species
GACGAGUCUCACAAACGUUAUUCGGAAUUACUGGGCUUAAAGGGUGCGUAGGCGGUGAAGUAAGUCGGAUGUGAAAUACCUUAGCUUAACUAGGGAACUGCACUCGAUACUACUUUGCUAGAGUAAGACAGAGGUGAGUGGAACUGAGGGUGGAGCGGUGAAAUGCGUUGAUAUCCUCAGGAACACCGGUGGCGAAGGCGACUCACUGGGUCUUUACUGACGCUGAUGCACGAAAGCUAGGGUAGCAAACGGG